CAUGUCUCUCUAAUGUUCCAGGACCCACGCAGCAUAGACACAGUCUCUUCUAUUUCUCUCUUUCCUAUUACAGGACUAGCUGCCGUCAGAGGAAAAGCAUGGCAGAGUCAGUGUCAUGGGGUCAAAUGGUUACCUUUGGAAUCGGAGUGAGAUUUCUUAACUCUGCAGUAAAGACCCUUUUUCCUUUAACUCUCCUCGGGCUAUUUAAAACAAAACACGCAUACGCACACUCCCCAGAAAUCCCCCCCCCCUUUUUUUGUAAUGUGUGGAAUGCAGGAGCGCUGCUUGCUUUGCCAGCACAACUUUUACAUUUCUUGAAUCGCAACUGCGCAGUUAACAAUUUUAACAGCUACCUUUGUUAACUGACUAAAUCAGCAGAGGGGUGUCCAGUUUUAUCUUCUCUUCUAAUGCACAUGUGAACUUGCCAUCUUCCUAUGGUCAUCUGUUUAAAACUACAGAGCUGGGUUUGUACCAAUCUGACUUGUUUUAAAGUAAAAAAAAUUAAAACAAAAUAAACCAAGUAUUAAAUUUGUAGCUUCAGUAUUAAAUUUGGACGAGUCAUCUACCUUAGCGCGAAACGUAGUAAAAGCCGCAAGGUGAACCUUACCGGGGCUCAUUGCGAGGACCACUAGUUUAAGGUGCAGAAGAUAGUCGAGGAUGGUAGGUAAGGAGGAUGUUGAAGGAACCGGCUGGUGACAAGCACACAACAUUGAGAAUCUUUUCCAUUUCUGAAGGUCAGCGAACCAGCCAGGAGCCAUGCCUUCAGGUGCAGUGAGUGGAGAGUUGAUGGCCGUCGUGAGAGCCCAGGUGAAGAAGGAGAUACCUCACGCAAGGUACAGUUUGACAACCACCAGCACCUUUGAGAAGACCCUCGGGGCCAUAGAGAGUCCAAAUAGAAGCACUUUGUAUUGGUAGUUCUGAGAAUCUACAACGAAAAGAAGAAAACAAAACAUCUGAGCGCAGGGUGGACGGCAAUGUGAAAGUAUGCAUCUUGCAAGUCGAGGGAUGAGAACCAAUCAUCCUGUUUGGAUGCCAGUAAUAUGGAAGCAAGCGCUACCAUCUUGAAUUUUGCUUCUGAAUGAAUUUAUUGAGGGCUCGAAGGUCUAGAAUGGGCCUCUAACCCUCCAUCCUUUUUUCAGUCAAGAAGUAAUGGGAGCAGAACCCCUUGCCCCUAAACUGUGUGAGGACGCGUUCAAUCGCCCCAUGUGAAAGAGGAGCUCUACUUCUUGUUGGAGAAGGCUCUUGUGAGAGUGGUCCCUGAAAAGAGACAGAGAAGGGGGGUGGCCAAGGGGGUAUGGACACAAAGGUAAUAAGGUAGCCUUUUUCAAUUAUCUGCAGGAGCCAUCUAUCAGAGGUUAUACCAGUUGAAGAAGGGCAACAAUCGAUGCUGGAAGAGAUUUGCUUGCGUUGAUGGCGUUGGAAUAGGUGACAGGCUCUACAGACCCUCGAUCAGAUGAUCGAGUUUGCUUGUUGGACUGCUGCGACUGUUGGGAAUCGGUAGAGGAAGGGCGUCAUCAUUGGUUUCUGCCUCUGCCUUUGUUCUGUUGCUGCUGGUCUUGUCUCCUGCAGUGUUGUGCAUAUGGGGGGGUAUCGAGGUCUGGGGUAGGGCUGAAACCUACACUGCCUUCUUCUAGGUACCUGGGUGUGGAUCCCCAAAGACUGAAGCAUCACUCUGGAAUUUUUCAUGGAGUGGAGAAUUUCGUUGGUGUUAGCUGCAAACAACUUCUGGCUGUCGAAAGGCAGAUCUUCUACUGUAGAGUGAAUCUCCCUGGGGGAAUGGAAUGGAGCUAAACCAUGAUGCCCUCCUCAUUAUACCGCUGUUGCUAUAGAACGUGCAGCUGUGUCAGCAGCCUCGAAGGCGGCCUGUAACGCCGUUCUUGCAAUCGGGUGACCCUUGGAUACUGUAGCCUGUCACUUUGACACCUCAUUAAUAUGUAUCUUUAGUUAUGAAUAUGUAUUAGCUGUAUUCAUAUUCAGUUAGAAGUUUCUAGGAAUGUGGCACACGGCACGCAAGUAGCUGCACAUGUCACACUGUGCUGCUGCAUGCAGCACACUGAUCCAGGCUGUUACAACUUGUUUAUCAAAGCAACCAACCAGGGACCCUUAUUUUCCUGUACAGGGGCCUAUGAUUUUAAAGAUAAAGAUCAUGAAUAUUUAUGAGAAGGGUGCUUUGAAGGCCUGGCUAGCAGUUGUCUGUGUUCGUUCCUGCCACCAUUGUCCCUGCUUGUCUCCUGUCUGUUUAUGUCAGUCUAUAGUUAGUCAGGGUUAGCUAGAUCUCGUCAUCGAGUGUGUCCGUUAGGGUUAGUGCGUCGGUUCACUGCACCAGCCGCCGGGUACUUGUCCGUGACGGG